GAUUAUGGCUCAGGACGAACGCUGGCGGCGUGCCUAACACAUGCAAGUCGAACGGAGUUGAGGAGCUUGCUCCUUAGCUUAGUGGCGGACGGGUGAGUAACGCGUGAGUAACCUGCCUCUGAGAGUGGAAUAACGUUUUUGAAAAGAACGCUAAUACCGCAUAACAUAUAACUGCCGCAUGACAGAUAUAUCAAAGAUUUUAUCGCUCGGAGAUGGACUCGCGUCCGAUUAGUUAGUUGGUGAGGUAACGGCUCACCAAGACCGCGAUCGGUAGCCGGACUGAGAGGUUGAACGGCCACAUUGGGACUGAGACACGGCCCGGACUCCUACGGGAGGCAGCAGUGGGGGAUAUUGCGCAAUGGGGGCAACCCUGACGCAGCAACGCCGCGUGAAGGAUGAAGGUUUUCGGAUUGUAAACUUCUUUUAUUAAGGGCGAAAAAUGACGGUACUUAAUGAAUAAGCUCCGGCUAACUACGUGCCAGCAGCAGC
rnacentral:rRNA from 1 species